CUUCCACCUCCGUUUAGCUGACUCCACUUCUGGCUACCUCCUGCCCUCCAGUCUGAGAAGACACGAGUCAUCAGGGCUGACAUUUCUUCAGACUCUUAUGCAUCCCCUGGAAUUAUAGCCAAAUUGGGAACACAAGGGCAGGCCCUUCUCUCUCCUAUACCCAGCAGAAACAUUAAUAAUCUAUCAUAUCCUUUUUAAAAAUUAAGGUAAUUGCAGUUGUAAAAGUAAUACAGGGAGUUCCCUUAUACAUUUUGCCCACUUUGACCCAGUAGUAAUAUUUUGUAAAACUGUAGCAUAACAUCACAACCAGAAUAUUGCCAUUAUUUCAAUCCACCAGUCUUAGUCAUACUUCCCUGGUUUUACCUGUAUAUGUGUAUAUAUUAAGUUCUAUGCAAUUUUAUUACCUCUGUAAAUUCUUAAAUCUGCUACCACAGUUCCAGCACCACAAGGAUUCAUGUUACCCUUUUAAUGAUCACGCUUCUAUGUCACCCCUUUCUUAACCCUUGACAACCCCUAAUAUA
ensembl:lncRNA